rnacentral:pre_miRNA from 11 species
GAAGAGCGAUGGGACACAAAGCGAUGACCUAUUAAUUGACAGCCAGUGGUUGUAAACUCUGCCUGUCAGUUCUCUAGGCCACUGCUGUGUUUCUCCCUCCCGAA